GUAAAUGGGGAGGUUGGUGGCCCUGCCCUGCAGGGGGGUUGGAGAUUCAUGAUCCUUGAGGUCCCUUCCAACCCAGGCCAUUCUGUGAUUCUGUGAUUCUGUGAUUCUGUGUGGUGAUGCUGCGGGGCUGGAAGCCUUCUGAGAAUCAACCAGGCUUUCGUUGCUUCUGCUCCAGGCUUUCUCCUUUCAGAAGCUUUGUCCAUCAGGGCCUGUGAUAGCAGGCCUCGAGGCCAUCGGCAUGAAGUGGUGUUGUUCAGCCUGAAGCAGUACCUGCUGUGGAUGUGCUGGCAGGGCCCAGAGUUCACCUGAGCAGUGAUGUCCCAGUUCUGGGUACUGGAGUCCUCACCACAAGCAGCAGCCAAUGGCUCUGAGCUGCAUGGCUGCACUCAGCCUGAAAAACCCAACCUGUGUGUGUGCAUCCAGGCUCCUCCCUCAUGUUCUCCUCUGUCCUUCCAGUACAAAACUGGCAGCUGCUCAAGGAACAGGUUCAGCAAACCAGGUGGAGAAAUGUAUGGCAUUUAUAUCAUCGCUAAGAGUGAAGAAGAUAGACAGAGCAUAUCAUGUAAGUGAGCAAAUAAACAACUUACGACAAGUAUGAUUGGAUCUUCAAUAUGGGCUGUGUCUGUGUUGAAAGCUAAGGAACACUAUUAUGUGUGGAUAAUAAUUUAGUUCCCCUUUAAGCUUGGGCAUACAUGUAUUUGUUUACACAAUUCAAGAAAUUUCAUGACUUGUCUUGACUAUAGGACCUCAGUGCAAAUGUAACAUAUGUCAGAAUGCUAAAAUCAAUAGCUGAUCUGAUCUCCAAACCAACAGAUCCAUUCUAGCAUCCCCAUUGUCUAUACUCUAAGGGCAAUAGGGCACUUUCCUGAAACUUUGCAUGGAACAACAGUUGGUGGCAGUGUCACCUGGGCCUAGCCUGGGCAGGAUACCUUUGGCUGGCAGCUGUUUUUCUUUCCCUUGUAAAAGCUCUGUUGUGUUUACUUCACUAAAGUUUAACUUGGCUAUGAUUUCAUGGCUACUGAAUUCACACUGCCCCCGGCCAACCCAUAGAAUAGCUAAUGACUCAAUAAAGAUGAGUGACAUCAUUAACCCAAUACAGUAACUAUUCAGAUACACACCGUGGUCUCCUUACAUAACCACCUAAUUUUAGCUGAUGAGUGAACAACAUACAGUACCACAGUGUAUUAUGAGCUCUGAAUAACUGUCAAAUAUCCAGAUGCUUUUUUCAAGGUUAUUUUAUUUUCCUGGUUUAAAACUGUUUCCUUACGCAAAUCUCAAGGUGUCAUUUUUCCUCCACCAAAUCCUCUUUUUGAAACAUGUUGAAGGCUUCUGCCACCCCUGAUCAUCUUGACACAUCAUUAGCUGGCCAUCAGAGCUGUAACAGUGCUCACAGCUCUCAUGUACGGACACAGGGCCUUGGGUUCUUUUAAUAGCUUCAAACUGCGAUACACAGGCAUCUCAAAUGGACACUCAACUUCACCCAUCAAGAGCACGGGGAGCCCAUCCACCAGCCCCACUGCUCAAGGGAAGACUUCCCCAAAACAGCUACUGCAACGGGGCCCUGCAAGCCUGAACUUCAGAGCUGAGGAUAACUACAAAUCGGCGCCUCAGGCUCCCAGUUCACCGGUUUCACCAAGGAGUAUAACACAGGAGAAUGUCAGAAUAACUUUGAGGCAAGCCUUUGCAUUCAAGGACACAGCAGACACUGUGUUGAUGCAGCAGGCAGAACUUCCCAUGCAAUGGAGCUGUGCUGGUGCUGCCUGGGCACCAACUCCAACAAGCACCAGGGAUCCAGGGGCUAAGCAAAGCUGGUUUGGCAAAUCAAUGAAUGAGGAAGAACUUUCCACCUUAUCACACAAAGACUUAUCAUAAAGGUCUGGAAAGCCCAGUAUCAGAAUUAUUUUUUCAUUACCAUAUAUUUCCUCGAAACUUCUAUGUAGCAGCUUACAUUAAAAAAAAAAAAAAAAAAAAAAAAAAAAAAAAGGCAAAAUGUUGAAAGGUGUUUUCACACAGGGAAAAGCUUCCAGUACAAAAAUUUCCUAACUAGAGGAAGGAAGAAAAAGACGAAAAGUCUCUCAUCUUCCUGAAACUUCCCUUGAAAGCAACAGAAUUUUAAGGAUGGAAAGUGCAGCAAUCAUGAGUACGGAGGGUACGUGGCUCUUUUUAGACAGAGCUGUCUUUCUGGGAGUAAAGCUAAGUUUGCAGGACUGUAAGCAGAAAGCAGCUCUUUAACUUGCAGUACACAUGCUGAGUAUGCAGCCUGAUAGUGAUAGGCCAAGGAGGAAUGGCUUUAAAACAAAAGAGGGAAGAUUUAAGUUAGAUAUUAGGAGGAAAUUCUUGUCUGAGAGGGCAGUGAGGCGCUGGCACUGCUGCCCAGAGAGCUGUGGUGCCCCAUCUCUGGAGGUACUCAAGGCCGGGUUGGAUGGGGCCCUGGGCAGCCCGGGCUGGUGGGGGCAACCAACCAACGGCACAGGGACGGAACUGGAUGGGCUUUAAGGUCCCUUCUAACACAAGUCUUUCUAGGAUUCUAUGAUCAACACCUGGUUCUUACAAAAGGAGACUCCUUUGUGCUGUUUACCAGGCAGAUUUUCAGAUGAGAACCAUCCCAAUCACUUUUGUCCUCAUUAGUCUCUGCUACGCACAGCGUGCAACAGUCCCAGCCUGGGUGUCACUCAAGCUCCUCACUUAGGAGCAACCCUUUAGGCAUAAGCUUCACAUUAAUUUUUUUGCUGCCAUAUCAGAGGAAAUACAGAAACGCCAAUUGCCUUCUACCAGCUCUGGUAUAACUGAGAGCCCUCCUACUACAUAGGAAAAAAUAAUCUGUGUUUUGAAUUACUAUGUUUUACAGAUGUAUUAUCUUGCAUUUGUCAGGGUGACUCCUUUCGUUAUUUCCUGCCUCUCCUUUUUCAGCGGUGUUUGCAGUAUUCAUCCACAUCAUCUGCUAAUUUCAUUAGCAUAACUGUUUAAUGAUCUCGAAGGGGUUAGUUUAAAAUAUUAAAUAAAACCGGAUGUAAACUCCUCAUUCCUGCAGCAUCCCACCAACCCCCUCCCACUCAUCUCUGUACCCUACCAUUCAUCGAGACCUGUUUCUCAGGCUUCUGCAAGUCUUCUGUGAGAUUUCACACUGUGUUUGCAUGACAUGUCAUUAUCCCCACAAACUGCUGAAUCAUUGGUACUUAGUCACUUAGUCUGUGGUUGCCACUGGUUUUCCACUGAUUGCUACACUGUGCCUUUGAGGACUGAAUUAGAUUUCUCUGUAUCUUGACAACAAUGACAGUUUUGACCCAGUUGAGUGCUGAAUUAAGCAAUGGAGGCAAGGCUAUAGACACUUUCUUGUUACAAAUUUGCUGGAGGAUACACCAAAGUCAAUAAAUUACAGCAGCACAUAUUAUGCUAGUGAGCUGGAAACUUCGUAUUUUCCCUAAAAUGUUUUCACAAUAAAUUUAUAUUUUUAUUAGUCAACAACUCAAUGACUUCAUUAGAAUACCUAUAAAGACGCAUUGCAUUAUUAUAUGAAUAACCAAGGUGGAAAAAGCUGUAACAGCUUAGAGUCAUCAUUGAUAACAUUGCUUGAGGACGCUAUUUCGAAGAUGCUGACCUCUUUAUUUAGAAGAUUCCUGAUGUUAGCCUCUGCUUAGUCAGGUAAUUUCAGUUGAAGGGCCAGUUGCAAGCUACACACAAAUUUCAUCACAGAGCAGCAACCUUGCUGAUGCCUCAAGUCGUAGUGUUAGAAUACCAGAAGUUUGUUUUUUAGCUUUUAUUAGAAUCAUAUGUGAACUCCCAAUCUUUAUGCCUACUGUGGGAGCCCUUUUCUUGCAUAAACACUGUGAACUUUGAUUGCACUGCAUUAGAGAUGCCACCAAGUAACAAAGGAAGCAAACUAAACAGAAAAAUAUACACCCAGGCAGCAGAAAAAGGCUGUACUAAUGCCUACAGUUUUAUGUGGGCCAAGGAAGGAUGCCAAUAAUAUAGAGCCAGAAAAGUAGAGAGUAUUAUUACAGGAAAAAAAUCUCCAUAGCAGUACAAUUAAAAUUGUCUUAGGCACAGUUCCUAGUAGGUGUCCCUCUCACUCAUCUGCUGUCCCUUUUAUGAUGCACAAGAUGAUAGCUACAGUCUGAGGGGCAGUGGAGGAAAUAUCAUGUUGCAGGAAGCUGUAAGAACCCCUAGCUCUUUUCCAGGAGAUCAGUGUAUCACUGACGACAGUUGCUGCCUCACUCUACAGUAUACAUAGGAUUAUUUUUUACAUUUUGCAAGACACACUAAUCUUUUUCUUUUCGUUUGUUUCUCUACAGUUCUAUGUUACUGCCAGAUAUACUUCAUAUGGCCUGUUUUGUAUGUUAGACACUUGAUUUCUUUCCCUUUGUUAUGCUUAAAACCAGCACACCCCACUCCCAAGUUAGGUUCCUCUGUAUGACCAACAACUGACUACUGGUGGGUGUAGCCAUAUGUCCACACAGCCUCUGCCAUCACCCCAUGUCUGCACUUUGCUAUGUUGCAUAGUAAUUCCUGCAUCUAUAGCUCAUUCAGCACAGAAUAACCAUUUGUGAUCACUAUCUACCAGUUACAAAGCUACAAAUUUCUGAAUGUCAUCUCCAAGCAAUUGGAAGAGAAGAAGUUUAUCAGAAGUAGUUAACAUGGAUUCACUAAGGAGAAAUCAUGCUCGACCAAGCUGGUAACCUUCUAUGGUAUCAUCACCAGCUGGCUUAGAUGUGGGGAGAACAGUGGAUGUUGUGUACCUUGACUUCAGUAAGGCAUUUGACAAUGUCUCCCACAACAUCUUUGUAAUGAAGCUUAGAAAUUGUGGGAUAGAUGAAUGGGUGGAGAGAUGGACUGAGAACUGGCUGACCUUCAAGCUAAGCGUUAUGUACUCACCUACAUUCUUAAGCCACAGUAUUUGACUCUAGAGGGAAUGUAAAGUCAGCCACAAUGUAAUUCCUGUGAUCUUGACAAGCAUUAGUAUUGGGCUGGAAAAAUAAGACAAAAAUGAUUAUUUUUAAGUAAAAAUUUCUGGAGGCUAAUGGUAGAACCGAUGGUGAAGAGGAAAGCCAUACAAGAAACACUGCUGCUUCAAUUAUGCUUGAAACUUGAUCAUAUUUAGGGAACUCAGUGCGUGGGCAACGCAAUCACCACUGGCAAGGCAUCAACAGAUGUUAUGGCAGUAUCACAGCUUUCAGCAGUGUGAAUUUUGUAAUUCAGUCCUGGAGUGGUAAAUCAUCAGAUGUAUACUCAUAGGUGUAUGGUUAGCCCUACUACUAAUUCAUCAUAAAAAUAAGAUCAUAUAGAAGAUCUUAUUUUUAAUUACAGAAGGACAAUUAAAGGAAGUGAGAAUUCAAGAUCAAAGCACCUAACUGGGACAUGCUGGAAAUAUGUUCAGAAUGUGGAGUACUGAAAUGCUAGGCACAAGGAUGUGCUGAGGUCUCCCACAUCAAACACUGCUCAUGUCAGAAGGAUUCCGGCUGGACACAAAGGGACAAAGACAAUAAAGAAAUCCUUAAAGCAAAGACAUGAGGGAAAUUUCUAGGAAAGUCAGCUAUUUUUCCAAACAUUUCUGAGCAGAUUUAUUAGAAGCUUAUGGACCCUUAGGAAAAUUACUGAAGAAAAGCAUUAUUAAGAAAAACAUUUCCUUCUCAUACAUAUGGGAAACCUUAUGGAUCUGCCACUAACCAGCAAUUUCAGUUCUUCAGCUGAAUGAGGAGAGAACACAUUAGUUAUAUUCCCCUGACAACUGGAAGCUGUAAAAAGCUGCAGGCACUUGGGGAUCAAGAGAAAAUUCAAAACAAACUUAACGAUAUGGAGAUAUAUUCUGAGGAAAUACAAUUAAACUUUGUACAAAGGACGAAAUGCAAUACUUAAGAAUCAUAUGUAGAUGCUAGACUGGCUGGACAGCAACCCUGUAGAAGAGGUUCUAGAGUCUGGGGGAGGAUUACGAACUGAACACAGAUCAGUAAUGCCAAGCUGCAGAGGAAUAUGUAAUGAGACAUGCAAACAUUUUUCCUGUUUACUCAGCUGUUCUAAUAAAGUAGCUGUAUCUAAAAUACUGAAUAUGUGGUGAGCAAUACAUUUCAAGAAGCAUGUGGACAAUCUGAACAAGGCAGAGAAAAGCAAGGAAAUGGUAUGUCAGAAAACAUACAUUGAAGGAAAGCUACAAAAGUAAGAUAGUAGAAGAUAGUAGAACUCAAAUAUAAUUAAAAGGUGCUACAGAGGGGAAGAUCAUGCACUGAAAAAUGAAGCACUGGAACAGGUUGCUUAGGGAGAUCGUAGAAUUUAUAUUUAAAAGAGCUGAUGAGAAUAUUUAAAGAGCUGAUCCAAUAAACUUGCCAGAACUGGUCUUGGGUCAAAGAUGGUCUACAUAACUUCUCAAGGACCCAUCUAGUUGAGUUUGUCCACUGCAGGUAUGGAAUAUCUAUUGCAUCUAUUAUUCCAUGACACAUCAAGGGAAGGCCAACGCCCACCUACAGCAUUACAUCUUUGAAAAACUAAGAAGUCUUAAGUACUAGCUGUGACAUACAAUAGUCCUGCAUAAAUCCAUAUAAUAAACACCAUAUUAUACCUAAGGUUAAACAACAACAACAACAACAAAGAUGCUGGCUAUGCUUUCUGCAUCAGUCUUCCUCUGAGUAAUCUCUCAGAGUAAGAUGAAUAUGCUGCCUGACUAUCAGCCAUUAGAAAAUAUAAAAGUGCCGAGCCCCUCAACUAAUACAUAGAUUAUGGAGAUUCUAACAGGAUGACCGUAGUAUAGAACACUGUUGCCAAGUGUGAGACUGUCAGCAUGCCCCAAUACCUCUGUACAUAGGAUGGGAAGCUUUUACAACCAAAGUGUAUUGCAACUAGAAUGAUUUGCUACAGACAGGGAAAUAUCUUGUAUUUCAGACUGUCCAGACUCUAUGAAGCAAUUAGUUACUGCUGUCCUACAAGACAGAGAAAGCACAUAUUGUAUAUAAAAUUAUAUUUAAAAUUAUAUUUAAAUUAUCUAAAACCUUUCCAGAUUUAAAAACUGAAGUAAUAAGAUGAUUCCAUGCUUCACUGCCAGGCAAGCUGGACAUCUUUGCUGUACAACUCCCUAACACUUCAUUUACAUGUUUACAUUUACAUUCAUGAAUUGGUGCAACAGAUGAGAAGAACUUGGGGAUCAGCAACAGAGGACAGAGCCUCAAAAAGUUCUAGUCUGUUCAUUUUUAAUGACUCUAACUGUGUGACUUUCGGUAAGUUCUUAUUGUUGAGAGGCAGGCCUGGAGAAGAUACUUGGACAUUUAACAUGACCAAGAAACAUGAGAGGGAUUUUGCAAUACUGUUGUGACCAACAGGCCACAAUAAAGACAUCAAAUUUCAAAUGAUUCAGUAUUAAAUGGAGAGCUACAGAUGUCUCAAGUUGGAUACUCACAAAGUCAUCAGAGGUCAAAGAAAUGAAUGGACAAAGAUCCGGCCAAGAGGAUGGCAAUUCUCAAUAAUGCCACUCAUUGCAAAACACUCCUCAGGGUUCAGCAGAGAUCGAACUGAUAGAUUAAAGAGUUAUGGUUCUUCUUCCCAUAAGAAAUACAUUUCUACAGCCCAACAGAGAAAAGCAGGCAUGACAAAAACCACCAAACUAGAUAUAUAAACAAGAGCAAAUAGCCAGAGAUCUUUGUGCAUAAAUUCAUAGUUCUCACUAACAAUCACAAAACAAACAAACAAAACAAAACAAAACAAACAAACAAACAAAGAGAGAGAGAGAGAGAGAGAGAGAAGCAAGUAUAAUCUUCAGUAAAUAAUAGGUCAUAGGAAGUACCUUUGCAGAGAAGAACUCAAGCAACAAUAAAAUAGUGGCAAACAGGGAGAGAAAGUGGUAGCACUCAACUACAGUCUUAGCAAUCACCUGGUCUGUUGCAAUAGUUGUUAAAAAUAAGACAUGUAAGCGAUACGAGAGAGAGUGUAAGACCACUACAGCAACAGCAACAGUACAAACAGGGAAUGUGAAUCUGGGCUGCCCACUAGCUGGUGGGCUGCAAUGAUCCGGACAGAAAAAUCCUUGCCCUAUGGACAGGCGCGUAGUACUGAAUGAGUCACUAGCAUGAAUGACAGAAGGGUAGGAAAUGCUGUAAGGAAACAUAUAGAAGCUGCACAGAAUAUGAAGGGAGAUAUUUAGGCUUGGAGAAGACACCUCUGUAAGGACAUCUCCUAUGAAAGCAAGAAAAAAGGCAAAGAAACAAAGCCCUCGUUUCAGAAAUGUUAAAACCAAAGUCUGUCUAGUCUCUGGCUACAUUAACACACAAUAUGGACAUAGAGGAGACCAAGAUAACAACUUGGCAAUGACUGAGACCUAAGUCUUGGGUAAAGUUUAAAAGAAAACUAGGUUCAUAAAAAUAAAUAAGUAGUGUUUCAUGUUCCACUUCACAUGCAGAAUUGCAUCUUUCAGUACUAAUAUUUAAUCAUGUUACUAUUUUCCCUUGGACAGUUCAAAAAUGUUAGUCACAGCUUGUUAUACCAUGUAUGGUCAAGUAGAGUGUUCCUAUCUCCUUCCCCACCACAUUAUCACUGAACUGUUCAAUAUGAAAAACUGCUUUUAAAAAUGCCUUAACAUUUGUUUUGUUGGUGAACAUGCUGCAGAGGUUCCAUAUAAGGACUACGGGAAAUAAACCAAGCCAGGAAUUAAAGUACAAGAGUAAGUAGAAUAAGUUAGUUCUAAAAUUUUUAAAUACACUUCUAAACAAACAUCGUUUAAAAUUUGAGGCUGCUAAAACAGUCACUCAAGACAAUUGGGAAAUUAAUCACUGUAAGUAACAACAAACUCUUAAAAAAUUCUUACAGGACUUCUGCAAGGCUCAUUUGCACGACUCAUUCUAAGAAUUAGGAAACAAGAUAUAGCUGAUCUGAAUAAAUAACAUAAAAGGAGAAGCUCCCCUCAAGCUUGGAGAGUUGUUACAGCAUUUUUCCUCACCCACCUCUCCCUCCAGCUUUGCUCCUUACUAAGCCACACUGCCUCAGUAAACAACUUCUAACAAGAUAAAUGCUAACUGUUAGUACUCAUCCUAAAACCAUGGGCAUACUUUUACAAACAUUUACAAAUCUUAUUCAACAUUUCAUUUUAAAAAAAAUAGGAUAAUAUUUUACCUUCUAGUACAUUAUAUGUAUGAAAAAAAAGAAUUAAAAUAUCCUCAAAUGAAACCAUGUUGUUUAAUUGCUGAGGGGAACACUGCACAGGAAGGCCUUUAGCAGCUCUAACAACAGCUGCUCUUCAUCUGGCACUUCUUUUUCCUCCUCCGUUUAAUGCUUACCUAGGUAUUAAGCCCAUCAUUCUGCAUAUCACAACUGUAGCUGUAAACUAAGCACUUAUUUGCUAUUCUAGAUAAAUAUGAACUAAAACAUUUUUUUACAAGGGACAAAGACAAGUUGUGGAUUAUUUAAUGUGGCUGCACUAUUAUCAAAACACCACACCAAGUGAAAGCAGUGAAAAUAUUUCCUUUUGGGAAUGUUACACCAAUGCUCGUGAUACUCUUUGAGGUUAAGCUUACUUAUCUCUAAUGUAUAAAAAUAAUACAAGAAAAAGAUAAGCUUGAAAAAGAAAAUCAUACAAUGAAAUUGUGAUGCAGAACAAUGCUUUUUUAAAAGCUAUCUAAGCUCUGCCGACAAUAUCGGGACCACAUGUUCUGAGUUAGGAAGGUGAUGAAGUGCUUGCUAAAUAUAGCCUUAAAUUAUGCUUUCAGAAUCUAUUCAUAAUCAAGAAAGCUUGAUUUUGUAUGAUGUCUACUGCUCUGUGCUCUUAGUAGAAAUGCAGAGUACUUGUUAUUUUCCAUGCUAUUGUAAUCACAGUACUUACUGUAUUGUAUAUUACUGCAUAAACGUCUAAAACUAACCCAGGUUCUCUAAAGCACAUUAGUUUUAAAUGUCCUUCACUUUAAGACAUUCAUCAGUUCUAUGUUAACAUUGAACACACACUUAAAAAACUCCAACACUUUAUAAAGGAUAGUAUCAGUUUUCAGAGAGUGUGAGCUAAAGUAUACAUAAUUCAGGCAUACAACAAUAUCUACUUC